rnacentral:lncRNA from 1 species
AGAACCUACUAUAUAACCAAUAAGUGAUUAAGUGAAUCUUGUAAGCCAUAGAGACUCCCACAGUAACCAAGCACUGGACCAGAGGCCCAAAACACAAGCUGGGCCAACACCCAUGGAAACUGAUGAAUCACUGGUAUAUAGUCCAUCUGCUUUGUGGAAACUACCUGAGUCUGUUCCAGCCCACCUGAUACAUAUCAUUUGACAACUGGAAAGGAAAAUGUGGGUCUGUUGAUAUGGGAAAGAUACUUCUGGACCAAAAAAAGAGAACUCCAGGAGAAAUUCUAGACUCCAGGCCUCUUCCAGUCCACCUUCUCUCGGCAUUUCUGC